AACGAACGCUGGCGGCAUGCCUAACACAUGCAAGUCGAACGAUGCCUUCGGGCAUAGUGGCGCACGGGUGCGUAACGCGUGGGAAUCUGCCUUUCGGUUCGGAAUAACUCAGGGAAACUUGAGCUAAUACCGGAUAACGUCGCAAGACCAAAGAUUUAUCACCGAAAGAUGAGCCCGCGUAGGAUUAGCUAGUUGGUGAGGUAAAGGCUCACCAAGGCGACGAUCCUUAGCUGGUCUGAGAGGAUGAUCAGCCACACUGGGACUGAGACACGGCCCAGACUCCUAAGGGAGGCAGCAGUGGGGAAUAUUGGACACUGGGCGAAAGCAUGAUCCAGCAAGGCCGCGUAAGUGAUGAAGGCCUUAGGGUUGUAAAGCUCUUUUACCCGGGAAGAUAAUGACGGUACCGGGAGAAUAAGCCCCGGCUAACUCCGG
rnacentral:rRNA from 1 species